UCGCUAAGUGAAUGCGUAUUUCUAAAAGUACAUCUCCACCUCCGGCAAGCGUAAUUCUGGCUGAACCGUUUUCUUUUUCCGUUUUAAUUCAAAUUCAGAUUUGACCCUAACUUUGACUGCCUCUAAUUUUUAAAACACAACUCCAAAUGACUUGAUUCGUUUUCUGUUAUUUUUCAAAUUCCAUCUAGUUUAUUUUAGUAUUUAUUUCAAAAAUUUCCAAAUAACUUUUUAGCACUGUUUUGGCUCUAUGUGGUAAGUGUAAUAUUUUGAGAAGAGGAAAACGAAGGGGAGAUUCUCAAAGUUUUGGAAUGCGCCCAAUCUUUCUGCAUGCUUAAGGAAAGCAUCUUGAACACAUGAUAUGGUGAAUGCGUAGGUGUUUGUUUGCAAGUAAAACCGAGUUAUGAAUUUGUUUAACUCAUAUAGAAUUUGCAUAUUACUAGUCAUACAUGCGUGAUCACUUUGAUGGUAUUUUAUCUUCAUUUAAACAUGAAGCACAAGUGAGUAUGGUUAUUGUCACAUGCCACAUAUGCCGGUGUUGGUCCAGGCUAAUUUGCAGGAAGAAUUGGUCACGAGAAAAGUGACCGUGAGACUAAAAUCUCCUUGUGACGAGAAUGAUCAGUGAGGGUAUGUUGGGACAUACCAGGUGGUGACCCUGUUGGGUACUGCCAAGGAUUUAUAUUGCGCUAAUCACUGUAGAAAAACUUAAGCUUCCUAAGUUGACCAUAGAUCGACUCUUGCUCCGAUAACCCCCAUACUGAUUUCGUGCUACCACUUGCCCCUGCCACAAGUAGGGUAUGGUUUAGUAAGUUGUUAACCCCUUUCCCUGCACACACCAUACAGAGAGGCCGCGAUGAAGGUUUCCAGGUACCGGUUGCAAUGCGAGUCAGGGGGCAUGGGUGUAUCCGGCUGGCCGAGAGGGGACACCCCUUGUAAUCCACGUGUGUUAAUAAUGAUCACAUGCUACUCGAGAUGAUGGUCUCCCCGCCUUGGAAUUUCUCUUGAACGAUGCUUCCGGUGAUUCCUGGCAUCCGGAAAGUUAAUCUGGUGUGUUCUGGUCAGGUGUGUUUUCAGCCCAAAGGCUGUAAUGGGAAUUAGUUAGCCUCUCGGUGUUGGCUAGAGAAAUCCUAUACACGUGGGUAAAGAGUACAACAUGUCCAGAGUGUAAGACCUAUUCGAAUAGCCAUGUCCGCAGUUAAGGACUACAGUCUGGGUUGGUCAAGUGUCGGUCUUAGUGUCACUCUCCGGAGGGAAUAAUUAAAUUGAUCAUGGUUCAUUUUGCAGGAUAAUUAUUGUCACUACUGGUGCUAUUAUGAAUAUUAUUAUUGAAAUGAAUAAUUUUGUGGACUAACCUUUUCCUCUUAUGAGCAACCUUGAGUAUCUCUUGGGAUGGCUAGACUACCCGGGAUAGUCAUUUCCAUUUUAGUUUCUGAGUAUCACUUGGGAUGGGUAGUCCACCUGGAUACCUGUGUUAUUAUUGUCGUAUAAGCCCUCUAUGAGGCGUUGCUUCAUAAACCCGACCGUGGCAUUUAUUUUAACGACCUUGAUACGUAUCCAACGUAUCUACUUUUCCAAACACUUUUGCCCUUGUUUUGGACUCUAACUUGCAUGAUUUGAAUGGAACUAACCCAGACUGACGAUGUUUUCAGCAGAAUUGCCAUGCUAUUAUUUUUGUGCAGAAAUAAAAGUUCUUGGAAUGACCUGAAAAUCCAUGGAGACACGUUUUGGAAUUAAUAAAAAAUAUUGGUGAAAGAAUCAACGUAAGGGGGCCCACACCCUGUCCACGAGGUUGCAGGGCGUGCCCCCUGCCUCGUGGGCCCCCUGGACCUACACUGACCUCAACUCCAACUCCAUAUAUUCACAUUCGGGGAGAAAAAAUCAGAGAGAAGGAUUCAUUGUGUUUUACGAUACGGAGCCGCCGCCAAGCCCAAAUCUUCCUCGGGAGGCUGGUCUGGAGUCCGUUCGGGGCUCCAUAGAGGGGAAUCUGUCACCAUCAUCAUCAUCAACCAUCCUCCAUCACCAAUUUCAGAUCUGAACCUAUUAUGUUAUCAUGAAUAUAUGUGAGUUCUUUAUCCUAUCUUGCAAGUCAAUAGUCACCUACUAUGUGUUAUGAUCCAGCAACCCCGAAGUGACAAUAAUCGGGACCACUCCCGGUGAUGAGCGUAGUUUGAGGAGUUCGUGUAUUCACUAAGUGCUAAUGAUUUGGUCCGGUACUCUAUUAAAAGGAGGCCUUAAUAUCCCUUAGUUUCCAAUAGGACCCCACUGCCACGGGAGGGUAGGACAAAAGAUGUCAUGCAAGUUCUUUUCCAUAAGCACGUAUGACUAUAUUCGGAAUACGUGCCUACAUUACAUUGAUGAACUGGAGCUAGUUCUGUGUCACCCUAUGUUAUAACUGUUGCAUGAUGAAUUGCAUCCGACAUAAUUAUCCAUCAUUGAUCCAUUGCCUACGAGCUUUUCACAUAUUGAUCUUUGCUUAGUUACUUCUUCGUUGCCACUUUUACUAUUACUAUAAAGUUGCUAUUGUUACUUUUGCCACCGUUACCAUUACUUCCAUACUACUUUUCUACUAAAUACAUUCUGCAGAUAUUAAGUCUUUCGGGUGUGGUUGAAUUGAAAACUCAGCUGCUAAUACUUGAGAAUAUUCUUUGGCUCCCCUUCUGUCGAAUCAAUAAAUUUGGGUUGAAUAAUCUACCCUCGAAAACUGUUGUGAUCCCCUAUACUUGUGGGUUAUCAAGACCUUUUUCUGGCGUUGUUGCCGGGGAGCAUAGCUCUAUUCUUUGAGUCACUUGGGAUUUAUAUCUAUUGAUCACUAUGAGGAACUUGAAAGAUGAAAUAACCAAGAUUUUUCCCUCAACUACGAGGGGAGGUAAGGAACUGCCUUCUAGCUCUGCACUUGAUUCACCUUCUGUAAUGAGUAAAUUUGCGACACCUACACCUAUACCUGCUAUUGAUUCUGAUAUAUCGCAUCUUAUUGAUGAUGCCACUUCUGCUAUGCAUGAUGCUUAUGAUGAAACUACUUCUCUGCUUGAUAAUAUUGUGCCAUUAGGUGAAUUUCUUGAUGAACAAGUUGCUAGGGUUAGAGAGAAUGAAAUUAUUGAAACUGAUAAUAUUGAUGAAAGUGAUGAUGAAGAUUCUCCCCCUAGAUAUGAAUUGCCUGUUGUACCUAAGGAUUAUGUUAUGGAUGAAGAAACUGCUAGAGACUUCCUUGCUUGCAAUGAUAGAUAUGAUCUUAAGAAACGGUUAGCUAAGCUGAAAGAAAAGUCUUUGAAUGCUAGAAUGCAAUAUGACCCUGCUUUUGCUACUUCACCUAUCUGUGUUACCGAUAAGGAUUAUGAUUUCUCUGUCGAUCCUGAGUUAAUUACUUUGGUUGAAUCUGAUCCUUUUUAUGGCUAUGAAUCUAAAACUGUUGUGACACAUCUUACUAAAUUGAAUGAUAUAGCCACCCUAUUUACUCAUGAGGAAAAAAUUCGCUAUUACUAUAUCCUUAAAUUGUUUCCUUUCUCAUUAAAGGGUGAUGCUAAGAUAUGGUUUAAUUCUCUUUCUCCUGGUUGUGUGCGUAGUCCCCGGGAUAUGAUUUAUUACCUCUCUGCAAAAUAUUUUUUUGCUCAUAAGAAACAAGCUGCCUUAAGGGAAAUAUUUAAUUUUGUGCAAAUUGAAAAAGAGAGUCUCCCACAAGCUUGGGGGAGGCUUCUCCGAUUACUGAAUGCUUUGCCUGAUCAUCCUCUCAAGAAAAAUGAAAUACUUGAUAUCUUUUAUAAUGGGCUAACCGAUGCUUCCAGAGACCACCUGGAUAGUUGUGAUGGUUAUGUUUUCAAGGAAAGAACUAUUGAGGAAGCUGAAUUGCUAUAGAAUAAUAUCUGGAGUAAUGAUAAUGAUUGGACACUUUCUGAACCAACUGCUAAGCCUACUCCGAAGAAAAGGGGUAUUCUAUUUCUCAGUCCUAAAGAUAUGCAAGAGGCAAAGAAAUUUAUGAAAGAAAAAGGUAUUAAAGCUGAAGAUGUUAAGAAUUUACCCCCUAUUGAAGAAAUACAUGGUCUUAAUAACCCGACACAUGUAGUAAAGAUAAAUUUUCUCUAUAGAUUUGAUGAAGGUGAUAUUCCUCGUAAUAAGUCUGCUAGUCAAUGCUUGGAUGAGUUUGAUAAUUUUAUUGUUAAACAAGAGAACUUCAAUGCUUAUGUUGGUAGACAAUUGAAACGCAAUGCUUAUAUGAUAGAACACUUGAGUGAUUAUAUGUCUAGAGUUAAGGGUGACCUUAAGCUUAUUAGUAAACAUGCAUCCAUGAUUACCACUCAAAUAGAACAAGUACUUAAGGCACAAGAUGAUUUGCUCAAUGAAUUAAAUAAUAAGAACAAUGAUAAUGUUGUUAGAGUUAUGAAUAGAGGUGGUAAAAUGACCCAGGAACUUUUGUAUCCUAAGGGCCAUCCUAAGAGAGUUGAACAAGAUUCUCAGAGAACUAAUGUUGAUGCACCUAGUCCUUCUAAUAAGAAGAAAAAGAAAAAUGAUAGGACUUUGCAUGCUUCUAGUGAACCCGUUAUUGAUACACCUGAGAAUCCCAAUGAUAUGUCUAUUUCUAAUGUUGAAACACAAUCUGGUAAUGAACAUGAGCCUAGUGAUAAUGUUAAUGAUGAUGUUCAUGUUGAUGCUCAACCUAGUAAUAAAAAUGAUGUAGAGAUUGUGAAGGAAAUAUGCCCUAGAGGCAAUAAUAAAGUUAUUAUUUAUUUCCUCAUAUCAUGAUAAAUGUUUAUUAUUCAUGCUAGAAUUGUAUUAACCGGAAACAUAAUACAUGUGUGAAUACAUAGACAAACAUAUAAUCACUAGUAUGCCUCUACUUGACUAGCUCGUUAAUCAAAGAUGGUUAUGUUUCCUAACCAUAGACAUGUGUUGCCAUUUGAUUGAUGGGAUCACAUCAUUAAGAGAAUGAUGUGAUUGACAUGAUCCAUUCCGUUAGCCUAGCACUUGAUCGUUUAGUAUAUUGCUAUUGCUUUCUUCAUGACUUAUACAUGUUCCUGUAACUAUGAGAUUAUGCAACUCCCGUUUACCGGAGGAACACUUUGGGUGCUACCAAACGUCACAACGUAACUGGGUGAUUAUAAAGGAGUACUACAGGUGUCUCCAAAGGUACAUGUUGGGUUGGCGUAUUUCGAGAUUAGGUUUUGUCACUCCGAUUGUCGGAGAGGUAUCUCUGGGCCCUCUUGGUAAUGCACAUCACUAUAAGCCUUGCAAGCAAUGUAGCUAAUGAGUUAGUUACAGAAUGAUGCAUUACGUAACGAGUAAAGAGACUUGCCGGUAACGAGAUUGAACUAGGUAUUAGAUACCGACGAUCGAAUCUCGGGCAAGUAACAUGCCGAUGACAAAGGGAACAACGUAUGUUGUUAUGCGGUUUGACCGAUAAAGAUCUUCGUAGAAUAUGUGGGAGCUAAUAUGAGCAUCCAGGUUCCGCUAUUGGUUAUUGACCGGAAACGUGUUUCGGUCAUGUCUACAUUGUUCUCGAACCCGUAGGGUCCGCACGCUUAAGGUUUUGAUGACAGUUAUAUUAUGAGUUUAUAUGUUUUGAUGUACCGAAGGAGUUCGGAGUCCCGGAUGAGAUCGGGGACAUGACGAGGAGUCUCGAAAUGGUCGAGACGUAAAGAUCGAUAUAUUGGACGACUAUAUUCGGACUUCGGAAAGGUUCCGAGUGAUUCGGGUAUUUUUCGGAGUACCGGAGAGUUACGGGAAUUCGCCGGGGAGUAUAUGGGCCUUAUUGGGCCAUACAGGAAUAGAGGAGAGAGGCCGAAAGGAAGGAGGCGCGCAGCCCCCCUCUGGUCCGAAUUGGACAAGGGGUGCAGCCCCCUUUUCCUUCCUCCUCUCCCCCUCUUUCCCCCCUUCUCCUACUCCAACAAGAAAGGAGGGAGUCCUACUCCUCGGUGGGAGUAGGACUCCCCUUGGCACGACCCCUCCUAGGCCAGCCACCCCCUCCCCCUUGCUUCUUUAUAUACGGGGGAAGGGGGCACCCUAGAACACACAAGUUGAUCUACGUGAUCAUUCCUUAGCCGUGUGCGGUGCCCCCCUCCACCAUAUUCCACCUCGGUCAUAUCGUCGCGGAGUUUAGGCGAAGCCCUGCGUCGGUAGAACAUCAUCGUCGUCACCAUGCCGUCGUGCUCACGGAACUCAUCCCCGACACUUUGCUGGAUCGAAGUCCGGGGAUCGUCAUCGAGCUGAACGUGUGCUGAACUCGGAGGUGCCGUACGUUCGAUACUUGGAUCGGUUGGAUCGUGAAGACGUACGACUACAUCAACCGCGUUGUCAUAAUGCUUCCGCUUACGGCCUACGAGGGUACGUGGACAUUACUCUCCCCUCUCGUUGCUAUGCAUCACCAUGAUCUUGCGUGUGCGUAGGAUUUUUUUUGAAAUUACUACGUUCCCCAACAGAUUGAACCUGUUGUUAAUCUUGAUAACCCACAAUCAAAGAAUCAACGUUAUGAUAAGAGAGACUUCGUUGCUAGGAAGCACGGUAAAGAAAGAGAACCAUGGGUUCAGAAACCCAUGCCUUUUCCUCCUAGGCCAUCCAAGAGAAAAGGAUGAUGAGGAUUUUGAGCGCUUUGCUGAAAUGAUUAGACCUAUCUUUUUACGUAUGCGUUUGACUGAUAUGCUUAAAAUGAAUCCUUAUGCCAAGUAUAUGAAAGAUAUUGUUACAAAUAAAAGAAAGAUACCAGAAGCUAAAAUUUCCACCAUGCUUGCUAAUUAUACUUUUAAGGGUGGAAUACAAAAGAAACUUGGAGAUCCAUGAGUACCAACUAUAGCAUGCUCCAUUAAAAGAAACUAUGUUAAAACUGCUUUAUAUGAUCUUGGAGCUAGUGUUAGUGUUAUGCCUCUCUCUUUAUAUCGUAGACUUGAUUUGAAUAAGUUGACACCUACUAAAAUCUCUUUGCAAAUGGUCGAUAAAUCAACCGCUAUACUAGUCGGUAUUUGUGAGGAUGUGCCUGUUGUGAUUGCAAACGUUACUAUCUUAACGGACUUUGUCAUUCUUGAUAUUCCCGAGGACAACAGUAUGUUGAUCAUCCUUGUUAGACCCUUUUUGAAUACUGCAGGAGCUGUUCUUGAUUGCAACAAAGGCAAUGUCAAUUUUCAUGUUAAUGGUAAUGAGCAUACGGUACACUUUCCAAAGAAACAACCUCAUGUUCAUAGUAUAAAUUCUAUUGGAAAAAUUUCAACGAUUACUAUUGGAGGUUUUGAAUUUUCUCUUCCUACUGUCAAAAAGAGAUAUGAUAUUCUUAUUGUUGGGGACAUGCAUAUCCCCAUUGAAGUAACCUAGUGUUAUUAAAAAAUUCUCCACUUUCAUGUUAUUUGGAAGAAGUUUGUUAACAAGACUUGAUCAACCUUGUUAGUGGAUUCCUUUUGAUGAGCAUGAGAUGGAUGAAGUUAGAAAGCACAACUCUCUGUACCCUCCUUUUACUUUCUGUUAGUUUGAUUAAAUAAAGCAAAAAUAGUAUUUUCUGUCUGUUUUCUGAAUUAUCCAUGAAAUAAAAAAUACCCCAAAAAUAAAAGUUCUCCAAAUGCCCUGAAAAUGAAGUAUGAUUUUUUUGUAGAAUAUUUAAGAAUUUUUGGCACUUAGAACACACCAGGGGGACCUACCAUUUGGCAAUGAGAGCACAGGACGCGCCCCCUGCCUCGUGGACCCCACUUGGCCCCCCUCCACUUAUUCCAGCACCCACACACUUCGUCUUCCUCCAGAAAAAGUCAUCUCGUAGCUCAAACUCGUGUUCUAGCUCGUUUUGUUGCCAUUUUCGAUCUCCUUGCUCAAAGCUCCAUUCACAAAACUGCUUUGGGGAAUUGUUCUUCGGUAUGUGACUCCUCCAAUUGUCCAAUUAGUUUUUGUUCUAGUGCUUUAUUUAUUGAAAUUUUUUGUUGCUGAGGAGACCUUGUUCUUGAGCUUGGAUGUCAAAUUUAUAUGGUCCAAAGUAGUUUUAAUGCAUGAUAUAGCCUCUAGGCACUUGUGGGAGUAGUUGCUAUUAAUCUUGUUGAGUUUGGUUCACUUUUAUUUUGAGUCACUAAAAAUUUCAGAAAUUUUAUAGAGGAAGGAUGAUGUUUAGAAAAUGUAUCAAGGUGGUUCUUCAAGGAAGCAAGAACCAAGGCUCGCAAUACGUGAGCCGGACUCUGAACCACCAAGGGAAGCUCAAGUGCGGCCUUGUGAAUGGUCGUCGGAAGAAUUUAUGGUCCAAGAAGGCUUCAAGGAUGAAUUUGAUGUGUAUGUAUGCAAUGCUGAUCUUGAGGACUUCAUGUCAGGUAAGUGCCGACAGUACUACUACCUCACUUAUUCCUUUGUGAGGAGGUUUAAAUUUUCAUCCACGCGCAAUACUCACACAGUUUUAUUUGAUCUCUAUGAUAAAUCACCAUGGACCUUGAAGAUUUUAAUACUGCUUGUAAAAUCCCGCAGUGGGGCAAUGUUAGUGAACCUCGCAAAUCUGAAUAUAAAUAUUUUCUUGCUAGUAUCACUAUGGGAGAAACUAGAGAAAUCGCACAAGCUACCAUAGGGAGCACUCAUUUUCCUUAUAUACAUUACUUUGCUCUCUUUAUAGGUAGGUGCAUUAACGGUAAAGAUGAGGUUUGUCACAUGUGCGUUCUAGAUCUUAGCGUCCUCAAGAGUGCGGUAUUAGGUGAUAAACAAUAUAACUUGGGGGGCAUUAUUGCACGGAGGUUACACCUUAAUGGUAAAAGUGGAGAUUUGUUUGGUGGAAUUUAUGCAACUCGCGUAGCUAAUUAUCUUGGUGCGCCCAUAAAUGGAAAUGAUAUUAAGUUGCCACCCGUUUAUAUAGAUUAUAGUCCUAUGGUUCGCCAUCAUUUUUGAGAGGAACGAGCAGUUUCUCCAGUACCGACUAAUCUUUGAAAGACGGUGUACUGUCCACAUUACCCUCAGUGCUCCUACUUUCUUUAACUUCCAGGCAAAAGGAGAUAUUUUAUAACCAGGGAGGAGGCGAAUGAAUAUGAGAGGAGGACGGAGGCAGCUCGCCUCCAAGCAGCAGCUCUGCAGGCAGUAGCUGCUGCAUCACGGUACAACCCCGACUACGACUUUGGAUAUCCGCCAGGCCAGCCAUGGGCAUAGGCCAACUUAGGCCAAAAGCCUAAGCUUGGGGGAGUACGUAUUUCUCACCGACAUUACAUUCAUGUUCACACAAUCAUUCCAGUUGUCGAUGUUCAUACUUUUUCAUUGUACUAUCCAUGCUAGUUUAUUUUCUUUUUCUGCUUUCUUCUUGUGUGUUUGAAAAACCUUAAGAAAAACCAAAAGAAUUAGUUGUAGCCUUUAGCUAGUUUACAUUUCAUGCUUGUAGAUUAUGGAAGAUUUUAGUCCAAUAACCGUUUAUGAUUGUGAAGGGGUGUGGAAGACAUAGAUUUGCCUCUGUAGAUAGAGCCAUCUCCAUGCUUCAAGUUGUUGCGAAGGAGAUUGGCAUGCAUUCUCCCUCGCAACAACUUCCGGGGACUGUUCUUCGCAACAAACUUCCGGGGACUGUUCUUUGGGGGACUGUUCUCUACAUACGGAACAAAAUUAGUGAAUGUACACUCUAAACUACGUCUACAUACCCCCUCUGUUUUAUUUACUCCACAUAUUAGGUUUGUCUAAAGUCAAACUUUACAUACUUUCAAUAAGUUUGUAGAAAAAUAUACUAACAUAUACAGCACCAAACAUAUAUAAUUGGAUUAGUAGUAAUAUUAAAAGAAAACCCAAAAAUAUUUCCCGUUCUUCUUUUGCUUGUUGGGAGCUUUCCCGUGUAAAUAGUUUUAUUUCUUUUCUUUUCUUUGGGGUUCGAGAGGAGAAGACCAUGAUGAAAAUGUUGAGUGGCUCUCAUAUGUGUUACUGUUGAUCUAACUAAGAGCCCAUCUUACCUCGUCUUCUCCUUUGAAUUAAAUGCUUGCAUAUUCCAGCUUAGUCCAAUGCACGUGCACUAUUAUUAUCCACACUGUUCGGUCGUGCAAGUGAAAGGCAAUAAUGACGAUAUAUGAUGAAAUGAUUGAGAUAAGAGGAGCUGGUAUGAACUCGACCUAUCUUGUUUUUGUAAAUAUGAUUAGUUCAUCAUUCCUGAUUUAGCCUGUUAUGAAUGAAACAUGCUUGCAAUAACAAUUAGAGAUUAUAGUUUCUCAUGCCAUGCUUAAUUAGCUAGGAGUUUAUAAUGGUUUUCCUUGUGUGUCAACAUGCUAUUAAAAUGGUUGUGAUGUGGUAUGAUAGGGUGGUAUCCUCCUUUGAAUGAUUCGAGUGACUUGACUUGGCACAUGUUCACGCAUGUAGUUGAAACAAAAUCAACAUAGGCUCCACGAUAUUAUGUUCAUGGUGAUUUAUAUCCUACUCAUGCUUGCACUCAUUGUUUGUUAAUCUUAAUGCAUGUUCACGACUGUUGUCGCUCUCUAGUUGGUCGUUUCCUAGUCUCUUUAUAGCCUUCACUUGUACUAAGCGGGAAUACUGUCUGUGCAUCCACUUCCAUAAACCCCAAAAUUAUUCCAUAUGAGUCCACCAUACCUUCCUAUAUGUUGUAUUUACCUACCUUUCCAAGUAAAUUUGCAUGUGCCAAACUCUAAACCUUCAAAUGAAAUUCUGUUUUCUAUGCUCGAAUAGCUCAUGUAUCAACUAGGGAUGUCUAUAUCUUCCAUGCUAGGUGGGUUAUUCUCACGAUGAGUGGACUCCGCUCAUCAUUCACGAGAAAAUGGCCGGUAACCGGGAUGCCCAGUCCCAUGCUCAAAUCAAAUCAAAAUAAUUGCAAACAGAACUCCCCGGGUUUGUUGUUAGUUGGACGGUACUCCUUGUUUCGGGCCAGCCAUGGAUUCAUGCUCGUUGGUGGAGGGGGGGUAUAAACUUUACCAUUCUGUUUGGGAACCGCUUAUAAAGUAUGUAGCAUGGAAGAUAUCGAGAUCUCUUGGUUGUUAUGUUGACAAUGAAAGUAUGCCACUCAAAAUAUUAUUUAUCUCUAUUUCAAAACUCGAGCUCUGGCACCUCUGCAAAUCCCUGCUUCCCUCUGUGAAGGGCCUAUCUAUUUACUUUUAUGUUGAGUCAUCAUCCUCUUAUUAAAAAGCACUAGUUGGAGAGCAUCGUUGUCAUUUGUAUGUGGCUAUUAAUUUACAUUGAGUAUGACUGUGACUGGAUCUUUUUUUCCAUGAAUUACAAUAUUUAGUCAGUCCUUGAUCUUCAGGGGUGCUCUGCAUUUAUGUUUUGCGGUCUCAGAAAGGGCUAGCGAGAUAUCAUCUUGUUAUAUCAUAUUAUGAUUGCUUUGAGAAAGUGUUGUCAUCUGAGAUUUAUUAUUAUUGCUCGCUAGUUGAUUAUGCCAUUGAUAUGAGUAAACAUGACACCUAAGUGUUAUUGUGAAUAUGGUUAGUUCAUAAUCUUUGCUGAAACUUGAAUGCUGGCUUUACAUAUUUGCAACAAAAAGAUCAAACAGAGUUUGUAAAAGUUUUUCUUUAUCACUUUCAGUUUGUAAACUGAAUUGCUUGAGGACAAGCAAAAGUUUAAGCUUGGGGGACUUGAUAUGUCUCCAACGUAUCUACUUUUUCAAACACUUUUUCCCUUGUUUUGGACUCUAACUUGCAUGAUUUGAAUGGAACUAACCCAGACUGACGCUGUUUUCAGCAGAAUUGCCAUGGUGUUAUUUUUGUGCAGAAAUAAAAGUUCUCGGAAUGACCUGAAAAUCCACGGAGACAUGUUUUGGAAUUAAUAAAAAAUAUUGGCGAAAGAAUCAACGUAAGGGGGGCCACACCUUGUCCAUGAGGGUGCAGGGUGCGCCCACCCCCCGGGGUGCGCCCCCUGCCUCGUGGGCCCCCUGGACCUCCACCGACCUCAACUCCAACUCCAUAUAUUCAAGUUCGGGGAGAAAAAAACUAGAGAGAAGGAUUCAUCGCGCUUUACGAUAUGAAGCCGCCGCCAAGCCCUAAUCUUCCUCUGGAGGGCUGAUCUGGAGUCUGUUCGGGGCUCGGGAGAGGGGAAUCCGUCGCCAUCGUCAUCAUCAACCAUCCUCCAUCACCAAUUUUAUGAUGCUCACCGCCGUGCGUGAGUAAUCCCAUCAUAGGCUUGCUAGAGGGUGAUGGGUUGGAUGAGAUUUACCAUGUAAUCGAGUUAGUUUUUUUAGGGUUUGAUCCCUAGUAUCCAUUAUGUUCUAAGAUUGAUGUUGCUAUGACUUUGCCAUGCUUAAUGCUUGUCACUAGGGCCCGAGUGCCAUGAUUUCAGAUCUGAACCUAUUAUGUUUUCAUGAAUAUAUGUGAGUUCUUUAUCCUAUCUUGCAAGUCAAUAGUCACCUACUAUGUGUUAUGAUCCGACAACCCCAAAGUGACAAUAAUCGGGACCACUCCCGGUGAUGACCGUAGUUUGAGGAGUUCAUGUAUUCACUAAGUGAUGAUGCUUUGGUCCGGUACUCUAUUAAAAGGAGGCUUUAAUAUCCCUUACUUUUCAAUAGGACCCCGCUGCCAUGGGAGGGUAGGACAAAAGAUGCCAUGCAAGUUCUUUUCCAUAAGCACGUAUGACUAUAUUCGGAAUACAUGCCUACAUUACAUUGAUGAACUGGAGCUAGUUCUGUGCCACCCUAUGUUAUAAAUGUUGCAUGAUGAAUUGCAUCCGACAUAAUUAUCCAUCAUUGAUCCAUUGCCUACGAGCUUUUCACAUAUUGAUCUUUGCUUAGUUACUUCUCCAUUGCCACUGUUAUGAUUACUAUAAAGUUGCUACUGUUACUUUUGCCACCGUUACCAUUACUUCCAUACUACUUUUCUACUAAAUACUUUGCUGGAGAUAUUAAGUCUUUCAGAUGUGGUUGAAUUGACAACUCAGCUGCUAAUACUUGAGAAUAUUCUUUGGCUCCCCUUGUGUCGAAUCAAUAAAUUUGGGUUGAAUACUCUACCCUCGAAAACUGUUGCGAUCCUUUAUACUUGUGGGUUAUCAGACCUCUCGAGGCAUCACUUUUAGACACCCGUUUGGCAUUUCUUUUCAAGACCUCUCGAGGCAUCGCUUUCAGACACCCACUUGGCAUUUUUCUUCAAAUCCCUCGGGCGGUCCAACGCUCGAUGUUCCAUUUCAUUUUCUUGAUUUACUGCUAACAUGAUUUAUUUAUCCUUCUGCACCGUGUGAAUAUUUAUCAUGCCAUGCUUAAAUUUUCAGUCAGCACAUGCAUAUAAUUUAACUCCUCAUGAGCAUAUGGAUUCGGUAUAUCUUUUAUUCAUCAUGUUUGCGAGUACAUUCAAACGUACUCACUGGCUUGUUCCUGGCUAUUGUCUUGGCCAGAUCAUGAUUCAGAGAGGAGUACUACGAAGACACCCCCACAACCUAGGUUUCGAAGAUAGCAGCCACGCGAGAUAGGAGUUACCCAGGUCAGUUGUUCCUGUGGGAAUGAAGUCCCAUCAACGUUGAAGAUCCACGAGUCACUUCUGUCAUCCACCACUAGAGAUCCUUGUUAUAUUCAUUGGACCUUUACGGUCUUGUACUCAAUUUCUUGUAAUUGCUUGGAAUUUUGUAUCAAGGAAGUG
rnacentral:lncRNA from 1 species